GCUAGGGCGGCGCCCAGCGGGCAGCUAGGGAACUGGCCCAAGAGGGUCAGCUGGCCCUGCAGGUGGAGAGCGUUCCCCACCCGGUAUCGGGGAAGAGCCCAGGAGGGAGCAGCCUGAUGAGGACCGAAGGGGAGGUCCAUUUGCCGAGGCCCUGGCGUCCAGCUUCCUCUUUGAGCCUCAUCUCCUCAUAAAACAUGUACUGAUUUGGUUGGAUUGGCGAAGUCUGGUAGCAUGAAGUGCAUCUUAUAACACUGUCACAUUAAUGGAAGGACACCAAGCACUCCAGUUGCAGGUGUCUCCUCAACGAACUUGAGGAACAGGACUAACGAUGAAGAUAAAAACUCCGGACCUAACUCCAGCCUAGGGGGACAAAGGCCAGAUCCCCCCGCCCCAACCGUCCGAGAUCCCCGAGGGCGACCCCUUUUGACGUCACGGUACCCACCAUGGUGCUGGCGCAGCGGGCAGCGGGCCGGAGCGAGAAAAGAGCCGGAUGCUGAGAGCAGAUCUGGGAGAACCGAAGCGCGAGCCCGCGCGUGGGGCGAGGCGGGACCGCGCAGGCGCAGCGGGAAGGGACGCAGAACCCUCCAAGCGCUGAAGGGUAAAGCGCGGCCGACUUGCGGCUGGGGAGCGCAAGCUGGGUAAAACCGAGGGGAGGAGGAAGCCGGGAAAGGGGCGGGGUUUCCUUCGUUCCGACUUCUUCCAGGGCCGGCCGGCUCCCAUUGCGCAGGCGCGGACCCUAACCUGGGCUGCUAGGCGGGUGGAGGCACUCGGCGUCUGAGCUCAAAAGGUUUUGUUGUUUUCCAUAACCCUGCCGUCCACAGCGUGAUGUGUUCGUGCCCUCUACACACAUCCUAUCGAGAAUUGUGGGGAGUUUGUGAAGAUUAUGAAGUGUGCACUUUUCUAUAUUUGUUAAAGUAAAAACAUAAAAUUCAAAAAAUAAAAUUAAAAAAUGUU